rnacentral:rRNA from 1 species
GACGAACGCUGGCGGCGUGCCUAAUACAUGCAAGUCGAGCGGACGGAUGGGAGCUUGCUCCCAGACCGUCAACGGCGGACGGGUGAGUAACACGUGGGCAACCUGCCUGUAAGACUGGGAUAACUCCGGGAAACCGGGGCUAAUACCGGAUAACUCUUUCCCUCACAUGAGGGAAAGCUGAAAGAUGGCAUCUCGCUAUCACUUACAGAUGGGCCCGCGGCGCAUUAGCUAGUUGGUGAGGUAACGGCUCACCAAGGCGACGAUGCGUAGCCGACCUGAGAGGGUGAUCGGCCACACUGGGACUGAGACACGGCCCAGACUCCUACGGGAGGCAGCAGUAGGGAAUCUUACGCAAUGGACGAAAGUCUGACGGAGCAACGCCGCGUGAGUGAUGAAGGUUUUCGGAUCGUAAAACUCUGUUGUCAGGGAAGAACAAGUACCGGAGUAACUGCCGGUACCUUGACGGUACCUGACCAGAAAGCCACGGCUAACUACGUG